CGGCGGCAGCGCGGCGCUGGGCACUCCCCGCCCGGCGAGGCAGGCUGUGGGCAGGCGGCCCUGCCCGUACCCCCCCCCGCGGCAGGCACCUUAAGCAAGCCCUGAAGCUGCAGCGCGCACCGCGGGGAGCCCUGCGGUGGGUUCGUUCUCCCUGUCCCAGGCCUGGCGAACCAGCAGAGCCCACACGGGAAGCAAAGCAGCCGUGUCUUCGGGCCAGCUGGAGAGCGGUGGAGGGAGGCUGGCACCCAGAGAACGCAGACCCCGGAGCUUGCUGAACCCUGCGAUGCUGGCGUGCUGUAAUGAGCUGGAGCCCCCCUGGGGUGCUCGCGCUGUUCCCACGCUGCAUGGUGCUACUCUGGUGUGGUAAGAGGAUGUUAGUGUUACUUGAAAAAUGCAGAUUUCCAUAUUAGAAGAGAAGGUACUGCUCUAUGUGUCUAUCAGAGGGCAGAGUUAAAUUUAGAUAUAAUGUUUAAUGUAUGUUUAUUAAAUUUAUAUUUACAUUAAUUAAGUUUAUGUAUAACAAAAUUUCUGCUUUGUUUACACUGGCAAUGAAGUUUAGAGGCACAGGCCUAGUGCAGGAACAGCACCAUACCAUAGUCCUGUUUUAAUUUUCCUGGAAACUGCACUUGAGUAUGGCAACAUGCUAGACCACUCUUGUCUACUGCAGCCUGGGCUGGAAGAGUCACUUGCACAAUAAUUUAUUGAUGUAGCUACAAAGGAUAUGGUUCUUUUACAGCAGCUCUUCUUGUUAUGAUUAAAUGAUACUACUGUGGCAAAAAUAAUUAAGAUUAUUGUGAAAGACUUUUUUUCAGUUUUUAAGGCAGAAGGACGAUCUUUGUCUUCUGAAGACCUCAGUUUCCUACUGCUGGAGAGGUUUUCCUCCUUUGUCUCUUUAAUUUUCCUGGUGUUUGACAUUUUUUGGUAAUUUGCCGUCCACAGCGCUGCCACAUCUCUGGCAGUUCAGGAAAGCAGACAUUACAAAAACUGUGUCCCGAGAAACACACUGUGUAUCACAUGCCAAACUCUUACAAAUGUUUCAGGUUGUUCACAUUUUAUUUUGGUGGAUAAGUCAGUCUGGAGGAGGGCCUGGACAGGCACUGACGUUUGGAUUCAGUUUCAAGGCAAACCAUCAAAUGACAUUUCUUAUGCCAGUAAAAGGAAACCAACCUGUGGAGCCUUCUGACACAACUAGGAAGAGCCUUGACCAGGUAGGAAACACAUGAUUUUUGAAUAUCCUCUCUACUUUUAAAGCUGUUUAAAAGUAUUAAAGUAUCUGGGUAGCAGAGUAUGACAUCCACUUGAAAUUCUAUGAUAAACAUUCAGAAGGAUUUAUAUAAUUAGAUAUUACAGAACUAAGGGAACACAACUGUGCAGACAUAACUAUCAAAGACAGGUAAUACGUUGCCCUUUGCUCUACCAUUUAAACGUGUGCUACUUGAGCUGGUGUCAUUCCACACUGAUUUAAGGAAGCUGGGAGAGGAGGCUAGCAGCAUAGUACACUACAUUCAAACACACAGGGCUGGGAUUUUUUCAAAAGAUUUAAGGGUGAUUGGUGCUCAACUGCUUUUGACCAGAUUCUUCUUUUUUAUUCUUUGACUGGAAGUCAGUAUUGGACACCUAAGUCUUUAACUUUCCUUCCAUUCCAGCUUUCAGGGUUUUAUCCAAAUGAAAAACUGAAAAUUCAACUGGUUUCAAUAAGGGAAACUCCUUGGCAGGUAACAUUGAUAGUUAAUACAAAACAGAAGGCAAAAACUAGCUAUGCAGGACUUAUACUGCCCAGAAAAUGAAUGGUGCUACACCUAAUUUAACUCAGAUGCUGUCAUGACAGCUCUCAUUUAGAUAAGCAUUAUCCAUAAAUCGACUUUCUAAUAAAGAUCUACAAAGCUGGAAAGAAAUGGCAGUGCUGUGCAGCAAGGGGAGUGUUUGCAUAUACAUAGGUAUGUAUUGUGCCCUGCCUAGUAGCAUAAACAUUUUUUCUGGCUGGAAAUUUUCAGACUUGGUCUGCGUUCCAAAACAGAUUGAGAUGGAAAGGAGGAACUUGAAGUAACAUUAAUUCUGGAAAAAUAUUUUAGACCUAUGUAUAGUCAGCUUUCAGUAAAUACAAUUAUAUGAAAGAUGACAAAACAUAUAAUAUGAAAUGCUGAAUUAAAACGACAGAACCAUGAAACAGGUAUAACCUACAUUCUUUGCUCAUAAUUUUCAGUUAUGGGUCGGUUACCAAAAUACAUGUCCUGUGAGCGAGCAACUUCAUGGAUAUGAACAAGUAAAGUUCCUAUUGAACGAUUUGUAAGACUGUGAUCGAUACUGCAAACACAUUCAAAAGACUUUAUUUUCUUACAAUCAGGAAAUAAAACCCCACAAUCAAUAUUAGUAAUUAAAUUGGUUUACAUUUAAUUGGCUUGUAUAUAAUGAUAAUAAUUAAUGCAUUGGUUUUUACUUCAGUGCUGCUGCAAGAAUCAGCUUGUCUACUUGGCUUUCAUAAAGACUUCUGAAUGUUUCCUUGUAAUAGAAGUGAUUUCCUUUGAAAAGAUAGCUGGUUUCUCUUUUGGUUAUUGUGCUGGCUUUUAACUUGCAGUACCAGGAGCUGGCAAAUUGGAGGCUUUGGUUCACGAAUCAGACCUCUGCCUCUGGCAUUGCUUGGGUAGGAAUAUGGAAAAUUUGUUUACCUCCAAACUAGAGGUGUAUGUUGAAUACAGUGUAGUGUGCUACCUUGAUUUUCAUGUCAAUGAAAUGUUCUUCCCUCUAGAAAUGUGUGUUGUUCAGAUGCUCAUGUUCCGUGCAUAAGGAAUACUUUUCAGCUUCUCCUCCUGGAAGGUAUUUAUGGAAAUGAUUCUCAAAGACCAGUUGGAGGUGAGCACGUGAGGCAGAAGGAAUGUCAUUACGUCUUUUCAGGCCUCUGCUUCUCAGUGUCUGCGAGCUGGAAUUUCUGUUCUGUUGUAAACAAUGGAAGUAUCUCCUUUCCUCCUCCUUUCCGCCUGCCCUCCAUCCCAGCCAGGCAGGAAAUAGGGUUUGUUCCUCCUCUAGGACCCUGUAUGGCUUCACCUUGCUUACAUACAGGAUCUUUCUACUCUUUCUCUGAUAACCUGUGAAGUCUUCUAUCAAGAUAAAUCCUGUCAUCACGCCACCUCAGGUACUGAUCCAUGGGGCAUACUUGGUGCCAGCAACCAGCUGUGGGAAGGUCUUUGGCUAGCAAUCCUAUAUACAUAGGUAAUAUUUCCGUUAGCUGCGAACAAAUAAAACUGACAGUUGGAGUUCAUGAACAGAAAACUGUUGGUUUUGCUAACUGGCUAACAUUUGCAAGGAUUUGGCAAUGGGAUUGCCAGCUGCUACUGCUUGCAAUUGAGAUCACCUUCUCUUUGUAUGUAAACAUUAGUCAUUUACUAAAGAAUGUAAAAAAACAGGUGUUUAGUGUUCACUGGUAAUCUGUUCUUUUAACGGGAUGCUGUAAGAUAGCACCUGACAUAGAACAAUUCCUUGUAUGCUUGUUGUUAUUAACAUAAACACUCUUCUACUGUUGUUACUUACGCUGUGCUGUUGGUAUGUAUGGUACAGAAAAGAUAAACAAAAUGACAGAUGUCUAAGCCAGAUGAAAUUACAAUUAACCUAAUGACAGACAACAAUAAAGGAAGUGUGGCAGGAAAAUGUGAAAGAACAUAAAAAUCACAGCAAGCUAUGCUCACUAACUUGUUUUUUUUUCUUUUUAAAGAGGCAGUUCUGCAUUUUGUGGUUAAUAGAGGAAGCAAAGGUUGAAGCUCCAAACUCUGGGAGGGAAAUUCAGCUUCCACAUAUGACUCUCAAAAGAUUUUGGAAUGCACGAGUGCUUUUCACACAGGAUGAGAGAAGAUACUGAAGGCCAAGUAAUUUGCAUGGAAAAAGAUUACAAUGAUUUGUGAAAAAGGAGAGAAUUAAGCUGUCUCCUGAAGGUGUGCCCUCCAGAAUGGCUUUAAAUUUAACCUUCCUGUCAGCUGUAUAACAUAGCAGGACUUCUGAUGCCACGGCCCUGCCUAAAGCCAGACCUCCACAUUUAGUCUGAACUGCCAGGAACAGGUUUCAUUAGAUAUUUCAAAUUUAUGGGUAGACAAGUCCAAAAUGAAAAUUAACCAAGCAUUUAAAUACAUCUAAAUGAGAAUGUAUUAAUAAAAGGUAUCAAUUCUUCUACAGUAGACUUCUCUAAAUGGGGUACACGGGGACAUUUUACAUUUAGCUGCUUUGGCAGAGCACAGACGUAUUAAAUGAAAGUCAGGCCUCCCCACUUUCAAUGUGCGGACCCACCAAGUACACACUGAGAAGGAGAUUAACCGUCUGGGCCCCGAAGCUUGCAGCUCCGGUCCUGCUGUCACAGCCCCAGUGGAGCUUCCCGGUUUUUGGUUCCUCACCUUGCCUGUGGGGCACAAGGCAAAGGGAAGGGGGGACAUGCAGCAGCAGGGAGCAUGGCCGUUCUGCACAGUGUGAGUAGUUGGGCUCUCACUACUGGCUGCUUCAUUCACCGUGGCAUCGCUUGAGCUGGAGGUGAGCCUGUUUGCUUUGGUUAGGCUGUAACACCUGCCUCGAGGAGUGAUAUGUUCAAGUUAUGUGCUCAUAUGAUGUGCAACAUGCACAUUUCACAUAUGUUGACCACACCCUAAUGACAGACUGUCCUUGCUCAUGGUAAUUGCGAUGAUGUGAUUCAUGUCUCUUGAAAAACACAGCAUAGCUCUAAAGACACUGGACUUUUCUUUCAGGUGUAAGUGGGAUGCUAAAAAUGAGGAUGAAGAAGCUGCUGUUGCUAAUCAUGCUAAUCAUGGGCUAGCAUUUAAGAAUGGUAGGAUCCUCUUCUGCUGAAGGAGGAGCUUGAAAAGUCAAGAAAAACAUGUAUAAGGGAAGUGUGAUACAGUAUUAGCGUAAUACGCAGUGAGCGCACUGGCAAGUCUAACUGCAGUCAGACGUGCGGGUAUCAAAUUGUGUUCUGAGGAUUAGUGAGCUAGCUUUGAAGAUACUACUGAAGCACUCCUUUUCAAGACAAGUUAUACUGGGAUGAAACAUUCAAAAACCCAAUGAUCUAAUGAAAAAGCAAUCUCAAUUUGCAUUCACAUAUGGUAGUGACAACUACAUUUUUAAUAUAGGAGAUAGACAACAACCUAAAAGUGGCAAAUUUUUAAAAAGGUUAAGUUCUUCCAAAAGACAGUGAAAUGCUUAGCUGGGGUGAGCAAUCAAGCAGCACGCUAGCAGAGCUAAAACAUUUUUCUGUGCUUGUGACAGCAUCAUUUUCUUUUUGUCACAAAUUGUUAUGGCCUCUGAGCCAAAAUUACUGGAAUUUUUUCCAUUGUGCAUGAAGCAUUUUUACACAAUAAUUCCGUCUAUUCUUAGCAAGAUGUUCUUUGGUGUGAAUUCUAUCUAUUGUUAGAAAGCAUUUUUGAGAAAAUAUGAUUCUAAUCUCGUGGCUUUUUGCCUUGAUAUCAAGAGAGUUACUACCAAAUAUGCAGUCGUAUCUUUUGUUAAUAAAACCAAGUUAUAGAACCUAUUAAUAGAUUAGUCAUAAAUAAUGGUGGUGUUGGGAGGGAGGAUUAUAUGACAUUUUACUUCUAAUAAAUUGAUACUCCCAAAGGGUAUUGAUAGCAGGAAAAUUAGCUGUUACUAGCCUAGUUCAUAUACAGACUGUCUUACAGAAAAAAAUAAAGUAUUGAAAUAACCUCUGAGAAAAGAGAAAUGUCAUUUGUAAGUUUUUCCAGCCAAAAGAAAAAUUCUACUAUUUCAGCCCUGAAGUAUACUACUGACAUACGCUUCAAGGAGCAUAUUUUCUGCACUGAGGUCCUAAAACUUCUUCAUAAUGUUGACAGCCACAGCAAAAAAAGAAACCACAGUCAGGAAUCUCACAGUGGAAAAGAGAACACCACAUGAAAUGCUCAUUGCUCAUUUUCUAGAUUUUCUUAUAUUCAGAAGAGUAUAGGACAUCCUAAAUAUGCUGACCAGAACUUCAGCCGAGCUGGUGGUCAUAGAAAAGCACAUACUAAUAAUGUAUGCCAGCUGGAUGGCAACAGGGAGAUCAAAUGCGCUGCCAGAGCUUUCAUGCACACAAUUAUCGCAUUCUGAAUAACACUGUAAAUGUAAUGCUUUCUUUUCUUACACCACCACCACCCCCCAACCCCAUGACCUCUCUAUUGUUCUAUCAGAUCUGAUAAUGAGGUUGAAUUAGUAUAAUCCAUAAUUUUCAAUUCGGUCAUAGAUGAAAAUUAUGGCUCACCAGACUUGAGGCACAUCACACGUACUGUUUGGUUGCGGGUUUGGUUUGGUUUGGUUUUUGUGUUGAUGCAAUUCCAUGAAACAUUUCACAGCCUGCAGAUUUGUUUUUGCCCAGUUAUGUCAGUGAUUGGCAGAAGUGGUGCCUGAGACCUACAAACCAAAGAGUGGUUCAGUAGGCAGCUUACCUCUUCAGGACAUCCAGGUCUGGAAGCUGGGCAUGGCAACCCCCUUUCCGUCUUUCAGCUGGGUAUCUGCAGGAUACUGGCAACUGCUAAAAGGAAAAAGCAGCAUCUCUCAACUUUCCCCCCUGGAAAUUUCCCUCUGGCAUUCCCAGUGUCAGAGUUUACAAAGGAAACACACGCAGCCCUUGGACCUGCAGAGUCUAAUGUCAGUGGCACCAGGCAGUCGUGCUGGUCAUCCAGGAAGGUCUCUUCAGCUCCAUACUUAGUGUCAUUUUAAACCUUUCAGCUUUGGUUUUGACAGAACUUCGCAUUUUUCAUUUUUGCAUGCCACAGGCUGGAAGUGUUUAGUGAAUGAGGCAAGACGCUGUGCAAAGAGAAAGUCUGGUGAUUAAAUAAGCUGCCUCCCACCCCAGAGAACUGGGUUUGCAGCCCUGCCUUUGCCACAAAAUUUUUCAUUCUUCGGGAUGAUGGGCAGCCAUGUAUAACAAAUAUUACUAAAGGAUGGUAUCUUCAUUAUCUGCUUCAGGCAAUUCGAAGUGUGUAACUUGGAUAUAAAAAUCCAGAGCUUCCAAAGUGAGAUGCCUACCUUGCUGGUAAAGUCAAUAGAGAGGAAAACAUGUUUACUUUUCUGGAGGAGCACAGAAGAGACGCUUGCUCUGCUUGGAGCCAGACCAAAUCUUCAGCAGUAUAUUGGUAUGACAAAAGGAGUAACUCAGCACGGAUCUCCCCAGCAUCAAACUAUUCUGAGGGUACUGACCUUGGCAUUCUGUGCAGCUGAGGUGCUGGGUCAAGUAAUGAAUAAAAUCCUAGCUUUUUAACUUUGUGCCAGAUUGCUCUGUUUAGUGACAGAAGUACACCGCUGGAUACUGAUCUUAAUUCAAUAUAGUGAGCUCAGCAUAUGCUUUUCUUUUGGCUGUAUUAUUGCUAUACCAAGUAUAGCAAUAUGGUGUUUACAAUACUAGGCAUUACAGAAACUUGCAGAUUUUCCUGUAGUAAAGGUAAGAUAAAGGAAAAGAGCCCUGAUUUUACAAGUUUGAUUUUAAAGGGGUGAGAGAUCUUAGAAUUAAAUUAAAAAAAACUAAUUAGAUGUUUUUAAACUGGAAGAAAUUCUAAGCAGCUGAUC